GUGCUUACCUCUGCAACACAUACUAAAACUGGAAUGACAAAAUAUUAGCAUGGCUCUUGUGUACAGAUUACACACAAAUAUGUGAGGCACUCCAUAUUUCU
rnacentral:snRNA from 1 species